UCGAGCGAGAAAGGCCUUCGGGCUGAGUACAGCGGCGGACGGGUGAGUAACGCGUAGGAAUCUACCUGGUAGUGGGGGACAACAUGGGGAAACUCAUGCUAAUACCGCAUACGCCCUAUGGGGGAAAGCGGGGGACCUUCGGGCCUCGCGCUAUCAGAUGAGCCUGCGUAGGAUUAGCUUGUUGGUGAGGUAAAGGCUCACCAAGGCGACGAUCCUUAGCUGGUCUGAGAGGAUGAUCAGCCACACUGGAACUGAGACACGGUCCAGACUCCUACGGGAGGCAGCAGUGGGGAAUAUUGCGCAAUGGGCGAAAGCCUGACGCAGCCAUGCCGCGUGUGUGAAGAAGGCCUUCGGGUUGUAAAGCACUUUCAAUUGGGAAGAAAGGUUGCGUGUUAAUAGCACGUAGCUGUGACGUUACCUUUAGAAGAAGCACCGGCUAACUCCGUGCCAGCAGCCGCGGUAAUACGGAGGGUGCGAGCGUUAAUCGGAAUUACUGGGCGUAAAGCGCGCGUAGGCGGUUUGUUAAGUCGGAUGUGAAAGCCCCGGGCUCAACCUGGGAAUUGCAUUCGAUACUGGCCGACUAGAGUACGAGAGAGGGAGGUAGAAUUCCACGUGUAGCGGUGAAAUGCGUAGAUAUGUGGAGGAAUACCGGUGGCGAAGGCGGCCUCCUGGCUCGAUACUGACGCUGAGGUGCGAAAGCGUGGGUAGCAAACAGGAUUAGAUACCCUGGUAGUCCACGCCGUAAACGAUGUCUACUAGCCGUUGGGAGACUUGAUUUCUUAGUGGCGCAGCUAACGCACUAAGUAGACCGCCUGGGGAGUA
rnacentral:rRNA from 1 species